rnacentral:misc_RNA from 1 species
GGUGUGAAGUGAACAUAAGAAAUGCAACGAAAUUCUUUAUCAACGUAAGAAAUGCGAGUGCAGCAUUUGUACGAACAAUUUAAAGUGUCCCAACAACCAACAAACUUUCCCCCCUUCUACACUCUAAGCAAUAAACAUACACAGAUAGCAGCAAAGAGAUUAAUCAUGAGACAUUGUAUGCGCAAAAUUCAAUUGCCUCUGCUUUACCAGUGCAGCAAUGUGAAACGUUAUUAUAAGUACUAAUCUGAUAUUGGUGUUACACUAUGCAACAGAACUUUGGCUUGAAAACUAAAUGGUGCUAUCAAAUGUCCAGUUGAUCAACGUUGAUCAUGCGGGAAGAAUUCUGGAUAAGUUCCUUGCGGACAUCCACCCGAGCACCCAUAAGGGAUGAAAAAACAACAUUGGCUUCAGCUGCAUCCUCAACUACUAAUUGCCUGAGCAGCCUUCUCUCCGGAUCCAAGGUUGUUUCCCACAGUUGUAAAGGCAUCAUUUCUCCCAAGCCUUUGAACCUUUGAAUAUUAUAAGAUGCAUUUUGCGGAAAUGAGUCCUGAAGAUUUUUAAGUUCUGCAUCAUCAUAACAAUAGUAUACUUGUUUUCCCCUCUCAACCUUAUAAAGAGGGGGAACACCAACAUAAAUGCAACCCUCUUCGAAUAAUGCUCUCUGAUAUCUGAAGAAAAAAGUUAGUAGAAGUGUUCGGAUGUGAGCACCAUCCACGUCGGCAUCUGUUAGGAUAAUGAUCUUAUGAUAACGUAGAGCAUCCUUCUUAAAAUCCUCUCCCUUUACUCCAAGUCCAAGGCCAAGUAUAAGAUUUUGAAUCUCCUCAUUUUUGUACAUCGCCGCCUCAUCUUUUCUUUCUAUAUUUAAAAUUUUACCCCUCAGGGGAAGAAUAGCCUGAAAGCGCCUAUCACGGCCUUGUUUGGCACUUCCACCAGCUGAAUCUCCUUCAACUAUAAAAAUUUCAGAUUCUUCAGGAUUUGUAGAUGAGCAAUCAGCCAGUUUUCCUGGAAGAGAUGAUGUUCUCAGCACACUCUUUUGUCUCACCAAUUCCCUUGCCUUCUUUGCUGCCAAAGCUGCCUGCAUAGGAAAACAACAGAAACAAAUAAAGGUUCAUGGUUAACACAAUUAGGCAUCCUAAAUGCCAGAAUUAAAGGAACAGAUUGAUUAACAAGUUUAAUACAGAUGAAGCAACUAAGAAAAUGGGGGAAAAAAUUAGGAGAAGGAUACCUUAAGAGCAUUUAGAGAUUUUGAAAGGAUUGAAUCAAGAACAUCUGGAUGCAAUUCCAAAUAUUCAGUAAGAUACUCUUGCACAGAUUGGUCCACCACUUUCCUUACCUCUGGAUUUCCUAACCUUGUCUUUCAGUGAUGGACAAAGAACCAGAAACGUAUACUAUUAAUAAUGAAGAAGAAUGCAACAAAACCAACAUUGAGAUGGCCAAAGCAUCAGUACUGAGUACUCAGAAAAUCAUGAUAAACAGGCAGUACCUUUGUUUGUCCUUCAAACUCUGGACUUGGAACUUUAACUGAUAUAAUGCAUGUUAAGCCCUCUCUCACAUGUUCACCACUUAAAUUAAUAUCCUUAUCCUUUAUUAUCUUUGACUUCUUCCCAAGAUUAUUAAGAGUUCUGGUUAAUGAAGCCUUGAAACCAUCUAUAUGUGUGCCACCAUCAAUAGUGCGUAUGCUAUUGGCAUACCCCAGUAUUGUAUCAGAGUAUGCAUCAGAACACCAUUGAAGAGCCAUAUCAAUUGUGAUCCCAUCUAUUUCUUUACUGAAACCCACAACAUCAUGAAGUGCUUUCUUAUCAGUAUUUAGCCACUUCACGUACUCUACCAACCCUCCAGCAUAGAAAUAUUCAUCAUAUUGGUUCUCCUCUAGAUCAUUACCUUCUUUUUUCAGCGUGAGAGCAAGCUUUGGGUUUAAAAAAGCAAGCUCCCUAACUCUUCCGCCUAUAGUGUUGUAGUCAAACUGAAUUGCGGUAGUGAAUACUUCAUUGUCAGGCCAAAAUCUGACACAUGUCCCUUGGCGAUCCCUUGAUUCAAUGGGCAGUGAAUAACAUGUUAGGAUUGUCACAGGAUUACCACGUGAAUAUCUCUGUUUGUAUUCCAUUCCAUCACGCCAAACAGUAACUUCUAAUCCCUCAGACAAGGCAUUAACAACAGACAAGCCCACACCAUGUAAUCCACCAGAGACACUAUAGCCACUGUUAGAACCACCAAAUUUUCCACCAGCAUGUAAGACCGUUAGCACAGUCUCCAAGGCAGAUUUCUUUGUCACUGGAUGCAAGUCAGUGGGAAUCCCGCGCCCAUUGUCAGUGAUGCUAACAGAAUUAUCAGAAUGUAAAACAACAUCAAUCUUUGAAGCAUAUCCCGCUUGGGCCUCGUCAACAGCAUUAUCCAAUAUUUCAUAAACCAAAUGGUGCAACCCACGAGGUCCAGUACUGCCAAUGUACAUCCCUGGCCUUUUCCUAACAGGUUCUAAGCCUUUCAGCACCUGAAUUUGAUCAGAACCAUAAGCCUUCGAACUAGCACUUUCUUGAAAGGACUCUGUUGCAGUACUGGAUGACAUGAAAGCCCUAGGUGAAACUGCAUUUUGAACUGAAAAUCGACUUGGAACCCUACUCAAUGGAAAGCUCACCCUGGGCUUUAAAGCAGGAAGGGGGCGUGAGAGAGAAGAAAGAGAAGAGGAAAUGUGACUGUGAAAAGAAGAAGAGGAAGAAGAAGAAGGAAUUGGGUAUCUAAAGCCAACAUACGAGAGUAGCAUCUGAGCCGUGGAAGGCGUACCUCUGAGGAUCUGAAGAACCAACUGCAACAAAAACCCUAACAAAUUCACUAGCCCUCUCCAUACCUGCAGCGACCUUGACACGCACACUUCCCCUUGCUGCCCUACAAGCGCCAUACCCAAUUCAAUUUCCUAUCACAUGAAGCGAACGCUGUACAGUGAUCAACCUGGGG